rnacentral:rRNA from 1 species
CUGGUAUUGAUUGGUGCUUGCAUCAUGAUUUACAUUUGAGUGAGUGGCGAACUGGUGAGUAACACGUGGGAAACCUGCCCAGAAGCGGGGGAUAACACCUGGAAACAGAUGCUAAUACCGCAUAACAACUUGGACCGCAUGGUCCGAGUUUGAAAGAUGGCUUCGGCUAUCACUUUUGGAUGGUCCCGCGGCGUAUUAGCUAGAUGGUGGGGUAACGGCUCACCAUGGCAAUGAUACGUAGCCGACCUGAGAGGGUAAUCGGCCACAUUGGGACUGAGACACGGCCCAAACUCCUACGGGAGGCAGCAGUAGGGAAUCUUCCACAAUGGACGAAAGUCUGAUGGAGCAACGCCGCGUGAGUGAAGAAGGGUUUCGGCUCGUAAAACUCUGUUGUUAAAGAAGAACAUAUCUGAGAGUAACUGUUCAGGUAUUGACGGUAUUUAACCAGAAAGCCACGGCUAACUACGUGCCAGCAGCCGCGGUAAUACGUAGGUGGCAAGCGUUGUCCGGAUUUAUUGGGCGUAAAGCGAGCGCAGGCGGUUUUUUAAGUCUGAUGUGAAAGCCUUCGGCUCAACCGAAGAAGUGCAUCGGAAACUGGGAAACUUGAGUGCAGAAGAGGACAGUGG